AAAAGAAAAAAAAAGACAUAAAUCAAGCAGAGCUGCUCAUAGCGCCGCCAUCUUUUAGCAGUACCACAGUCGCUACUGCGCAAACCAUGGGCUACAGAAAAUCGUCGGAGAAAAGCCACAAAUCGAAGAAGAUUUCGAAUCAUCUCACUUGCAUUUCCGCUCGCAGAGGCUCCAAUCUCUUCAUUAAGUAGCGUGUUGCUGCUCAAGUGGUAGCGACGGAGCAGUUCUUGCGGCAGGUGCUCCGAUGGUGGCGACGACGUCUGACAAAGACAUGAGAAGGAGAGGGAGAGUGAGAAAAAUUAGGGUUUGUAAUUGAACUUGGUGAA
rnacentral:lncRNA from 1 species